CCUCCCACAACUUUGCUGUGGAAGGCCAAGAUGUAGGCACUUUACAGCAUCUGAAGAAUGCCACUGUUUCAUUCAGAUACCUUUUACAGACCGAGAAAAGAGCACCUUCUGAAAAUGGCCACACUGAAAAUCAAUGCCGUAUUGUACCAGGUGCUGUACAGACUGAGGACACCACCAGAAGGAGGAACCAUCAUAAAAUAUUAACAGAGAAAACAUUUAAAACAAGACCUGAGGCUAUCACAAAGACGAGAAUUAAAACCGUCAAUGAAAGUGUGCGCUACUGACUCAGACACUCACUACAGCUAGCAAUCCAGGCAAACCUCUUUUAGAAAUCAAGAAUGAUCCAUGGGAACCUGAACCAAUCCCUCCACACUUCAUCCCCUCUUGAUCUUCUGGCUCCUACUCUGAACAUUCACUACCAACUGCAAGGCCUGUGUAUCCAGCUGCUGCAGAAUUUACUCUGGAAUCCACAUCUUGCAACAAGUGUGCUCCAUGAUUUCAACACCAGUCACUUGAGAGUUAUUUCUAUUUUUUGGGAUGUCAGGAAAACUUUGAAGAUGUGAAGCAAGUUGGAGGUCUAAGCAUAUAAACAGUUUGAAACAACAGCUCUGAGAGGCAGGAACUGAUACACUCACCUCAACAGGUAAAGACUGAAACCCAAAGAGGAUAGUUUGCAUCAAUAUUGUCAACUAUUUCACUGCUGCUCAGUUUAGUAGACGUAUGCAGCUAAUGUGCUUGUUCCACAAUCCUAAACUGCCUUACUCCCUCCUGGAUACCAUGAGCCCCACUCACCUCUUUAUGCAGCUGCCAAAACACUCAGCUUUAACUCUGAUUUGUAUUCAAGCAUAGUUGCUUUCUAGAACCUAACUGGCAUAUCAAACUAAGUGUGGAACACCAUAAAAUUGAUUAUUUUUUUAAAUCUGAACAGUUCCAGUUGUAACACUCAAUUUCAUGCUGAAUUAAUCAAAAACACCCAUCUUUUAACUGAAGAGAAUCUUACAGGAUUUCCAGUUUGCCACAGCAGAAUGUCACAGAAUCCAAGUAUCUUGCAACAGAGUUUAAGUCCAGCUUCCCAUGGAAUACUGUGAAGAUGUGAACAGCCUACAAUUUAUGAUUUCUAGUAGGUACUAUGAAGUUGUGAAAAUUGCUGUAUCACUGAAUACCUCUGUGUAAAAACGGAAUCCCCCAUGGGCUGACAGUGCUUGUGUACCCACCAAGCUAGGGAAAACGGAAAGCAGUUAUCCUUAGUGACUGUACUCGGACCACACAGCUGGUAUGUUAAGGAGGUGGGCUGAAGUUGGGGGAAAACUGGUUCUCCUAACUCCUCAGAAGUGAGCUGGGAUUUGGAACAGCUGAACAGAAACCAACGUGGUGACGCUAACCUUUGAAACCUCUGAGUCUGUGGGGGUCAGGGAAGACUCUCAGCCACACAGGAAGUUUUCGGCAGGAGAAGGGAAAAGAUUGAGAUGUUUUUGUAGCAGGUACAGCUGCAGGACCAAUCAAGGUUAAAGUGCUCCACGGUUAGGAAAACAAGCCAUGCACUGCAGGAGGAACAUGGAAACCCACAGAGAACUCUGACCCUAGCCCAAAGAAUGCUCUGGAGUGGCAAGGCAGGGAAAUGCAGUCAAGCUGUAUUUUUGUUCAGAUCGGGGUAUUUCUCAUGCAAUUAAAGAGAGUAAAGUCUAUGUUAUGCCUAUCACAUUGAAGAGUUAACCCAAGCGUGUAGAACAGCUUCCAGAUGAACAGAGACUUUGACACAGCUUUUCUAGUACUUUAUCAGCAGCAGUUGCAGACUGA